rnacentral:rRNA from 1 species
UACGUAGGGUGCGAGCGUUAAUCGGAAUUACUGGGCGUAAAGCGUGCGCAGGCGGUUUUGUAAGUCUGUCGUGAAAUCCCCGGGCUUAACCUGGGAAUGGCGAUGAAGACUGCAAGGCUAGAAUCUGGCAGAGGGGGGUAGAAUUCCACGUGUGAGCAGUGAAAUGCGUAGAUAGUGUGGAGGAACACCGAUGGCGAAGGCAGCCCCCUGGGUCAAGAUUGACGCUCAUGCACGAAAGCGUGGGGA